rnacentral:rRNA from 1 species
CAGUCGCCGCGGGAAUACGUAGGGUGCGAGCGUUAAUCGGAAUUACUGGGCGUAAAGCGUGCGCAGGCGGUUAUAUAAAACAGAUGUGAAAUCCCCGGGCUCAACCUGGGACCUGCAUUUGUGACUGUAUAGCUAGAGUACGGUAGAGGGGGAUGGAAUUCCGCGUGUAGCAGUGAAAUGCGUAGAUAUGCGGAGGAACACCGAUGGCGAAGGCAAUCCCCUGGACCUGUACUGACGCUCAUGCACGAAAGCGUGGGGAGCAAACAGGAUUAGAUACCCCAGUAGUCCCUGUCUCUUAUAA